rnacentral:rRNA from 1 species
GAUGAACGCUAGCGGGAGGCCUAACACAUGCAAGCCGAGCGGUAUUUGUUCUUCGGAACAGAGAGAGCGGCGCACGGGUGCGGAACACGUGUGCAACCUGCCUUUAUCUGGGGGAUAGCCUUUCGAAAGGAAGAUUAAUACCCCAUAAUAUAUUGAGUGGCAUCAUUUGAUAUUGAAAACUCCGGUGGAUAGAGAUGGGCACGCGCAAGAUUAGAUAGUUGGUGAGGUAAUGGCUCACCAAGUCAAUGAUCUUUAGGGGGCCUGAGAGGGUGAUCCCCCACACUGGUACUGAGACACGGACCAGACUCCUACGGGAGGCAGCAGUGAGGAAUAUUGGACAAUGGGUUAGCGCCUGAUCCAGCCAUCCCGCGUGAAGGACGACGGCCCUAUGGGUUGUAAACUUCUUUUGUAUAGGGAUAAACCUACUCUCGUGAGAGUAGCUGAAGGUACUAUACGAAUAAGCACCGGCUAACUCCGUG